UACAGAGGUGGCAAGCGUUGUUCGGAAUUACUGGGCGUAAAGGGCGCGUAGGCGGCGUGUUAAGUCACUUGUGAAAUCUCUGAGCUUAACUCAGAACGGUCAAGUGAUACUGAUGUGCUAGAGUGCAGAAGGGGCAACCGGAAUUCUUGGUGUAGCGGUGAAAUGCGUAGAUAUCAAGAGGAACACCUGAGGUGAAGACGGGUUGCUGGGCUGACACUGACGCUGAGGCGCGAAAGCUAGGGUAGCAAACGGG
rnacentral:rRNA from 1 species